rnacentral:rRNA from 1 species
UGGGGAAUUUUGGACAAUGGGGGAAACCCUGAUCCAGCAAUGCCGCGUGUGUGAAGAAGGCCUUCGGGUUGUAAAGCACUUUUGUCAGGGAAGAAAUUGUUUGCAAUAAUACUGCGAAUAGAUGACGGUACCUGAAGAAUAAGGACCGGCUAACUACGUGCCAGCAGCCGCGGUAAUACGUAGGGUCCGAGCGUUAAUCGGAAUUACUGGGCGUAAAGCGUGCGCAGGUGGUUGUGUAAAACAGAUGUGAAAUCCCCGGGCUUAACCUGGGAAUGGCAUUUGUCACUGCACGGCUAGAGUGCGCCAGAGGGGGGUAGAAUUCCACGUGUAGCAGUGAAAUGCGUAGAUAUGUGGAGGAAUACCGAUGGCGAAGGCAGCCCCCUGGGGUGACACUGACGCUCAUGCACGAAAGCGUGGGGAGCAAACAGG